rnacentral:rRNA from 1 species
GUAUCUGGCCAUAUCACCCUGAACGCGCCCGAUCUCCUCUGAUCUCUGAAGUUAAGCAGGGUCGGGCCUUGUUAGUACUUAAAUAGGAGACUGCCUGGGAAUACCAGGUGCUGUAGGCU